rnacentral:lncRNA from 1 species
CUACAUAUAAACCAAUUGCAAACCCUAAACCUUUCUAACCCGCUGCCUCUGUCUUUCUUCAGGCCGGUCGGCUCUUUGCCGGGAAAUUUAUCUCCGAUAUGCUCUUUAAUUCACCAGAACGCUACACGUGUCUCUAGUCUUAGCUAUCGCUUUGUUAGAAAUUUUAGUUUUUCCUUUGAUGGACGCGAGAAACAGGAUAACAAUGUCACCGUCGUCCCUAUGACCCAGCUGAGAUAUAGUUGGACUUGAGCAAGAUUCAAGGUAUAUCCCUAUCUGCAUCAUAGGUACCACGGUGACGAUGUUUUACUUCCCUUGAGGCUGGAACAUAUCGGACCCUGUCAAAAUUCUAAAAUCCAAAAUAUGAAGAUAGUUGGCAAAGUUUUAUUAUUAAAAUCUUUGGAACGUUGCAUUUCUAUUGUUACAUUUUAACUUCUGACUUCCUACAGUAAUUUUAUUAGGUAUAUUUAUUUGAGCAAAUUUUUAUCUGUAUUUUAAUGGAUGUCUGCUAGUAGCUCUAGUCAUUACUUUUUGCAUUAUUGUUCGUGUUAACUGUAUUGUUUUAUAUGUAGAAUAAUAAUUGGCACACUGUGCCAUUUAUAGAUUGUGGCUGCUUUUUUUUGGAAAACAUCGUUAUGGAAUAGGAUCACUUUUUUAAAGUGGUUCAUGGAAUUUUUUG